UUCAGCUUGAUGGUCAGAAAAUUUAAACAGCAGCCAAUUGAUAUAGGCCAAAGAGAUAUGGUAUCCAAAGAGAUUUUGGUUUUUCCUGGAGGCCAAAUGGAGACCAGGUGCUUUACCUUAAUGUGAGUGACAACAUGCCUUCUGCUCAGUGAAUACUCAGCCAGGAAUGACUGGUAGCUUGCUUCACUUAUACAACUGAUGGGCUUUGUAAAUUAUCUUCACGCUGAAUUUGUGUAAUGUAAGUAUAAGUUUCCCAAUGACUUUCACUAUGAUUUCAGAUUGAGUUUAUAUUGUUUUACAUUACUGAGGGAUGACACUAGGCUUAUUUUUUUGUCUUUUUCAAUAAUUGAUUGCAUAACCUGGAGCAAAAUGUCACCUUCCUUGAGAAAGUAUGUACUCAAGAG
rnacentral:lncRNA from 1 species